CCCGUGAUAGCUCAGUUGGUAGAGCGGAGGACUGUAGAUCCUUAGGUCGCUGGUUCGAAUCCGGCUCGCGGGA
rnacentral:tRNA from 3 species